GGUGCCUGGUGAGCUCAAGUGAACACCUGCAUUUGAUUGCGUUCCUGUGUGUAAAGAAGCAGUUGGCUUGGUCGAGGGAUCGGAGGACGUCCACUCAUCUUCAAUUGUCCUGAACUGUUUUGAGGAAUUGCUGCGAGGAGGGAAUAUAACUGGGGAGAAAAAUCAGGGGCUAAAGCAUCUUCUGAUGGAGAGCAGGACCUCUGAAUGUCCAGGACUCUCUUCUCCUAAAGAAGAAACAAAAUGCAGUUUGUCAAAAGCCACGCCGAUGAGUGGCAUGGACAGUCUUCUGUCCUGAGGCCCAGGGCCUUGCAGCAGCCCUGAGAUGUAUAACCUGGACCCUUUCCUAGCUGACGCUCCGCUGGAACACGCCCAUCUGCUGGUUGGGGGAUCGGCAGCUUUGAAUCACCGGCUGCUCUCCCUCCCAACCAAACACAGCAGGGUGGCGUGAUAUUCUUGAACAUGCACCACUUACCUUUGUAAAAGAGAACAGAAGAGUCAUUUUCAUUGUGUAAUAUGACCAGA